rnacentral:rRNA from 1 species
GACGAACGCUGGCGGCGUGCUUAACACAUGCAAGUCGAACGGAAAGGCCCUGCUUUUGUGGGGUGCUCGAGUGGCGAACGGGUGAGUAACACGUGAGUAACCUGCCCUUGACUUUGGGAUAACUUCAGGAAACUGGGGCUAAUACCGGAUAGGAGCUCCUGCUGCAUGGUGGGGGUUGGAAAGUUUCGGCGGUUGGGGAUGGACUCGCGGCUUAUCAGCUUGUUGGUGGGGUAGUGGCUUACCAAGGCUUUGACGGGUAGCCGGCCUGAGAGGGUGACCGGCCACAUGGGGACUGGUAUGGGGCCGGGACUCGGAGGGGAGGCAGCAGGGGGGAAUAGUGCACAGGGGGCGGGAGCCGUAUGCAGCAACGCCGGGUGCGGGAGGAGGGCCUGGGGGUUGGAACCCGCUUUCGCCUGUGACGAAGCGGGAGUGAGGGUAGUGGGUAAAGAGGCACCGGCAAACUACGUG